CGUAGUACAGGUCACAGGAGGAAUGGUGGAUGGGUAAAAAAAAGACAAGACUUUCAAACAGGAGACUGCUGUUCGUACGUUGACUUAUUUUGUCACGUCAAUCGUUAGUCACGUGACUCGUCUGUAUCGUCAGCCCCGAGUCGCUAUAGUCAGCGAACCACGACCGUUUCCUAACACUAACUAAGUGGUUGUGUUGCCUAAACCUUACUUCCGGGGAAGUUUAUUUUGAAAGGCAUGUAAUGAGUGUAUAUUGCCAUGCCAUCCCUGGUCCGUCCAAAAAUAACACAAGAGGGGUACUACCCCGUGCGUCAGUCUCCGAUGCCGAGGGGCGCUGACCAAGCGGCGGUAUGUGACAAGUUGGGUGUGAGAAUGUGUUGAUUUGAUCUGAUCAGU